rnacentral:rRNA from 1 species
GACGAACGCUGGCGGCGUGCUUAACACAUGCAAGUCGAACGGAAAGGCCCUGCUUUUGUGGGGUGCUCGAGUGGCGAACGGGUGAGUAACACGUGAGUAACCUGCCCUUGACUUUGGGAUAACUUUAGGAAACUGGGGCUAAUACCGGAUAGGAGCUCCUGCUGCAUGGUGGGCGUUGGAAAGUUUCGGCGGUUGGGGAUGGACUCGCGGCUUAUCAGCUUGUUGGUGGGGUAGUGGCCUACCAAGGCUUUGACGGGUAGCCGGCCUGAGAGGGUGACCGGCCACAUUAGGACUGAGAUACGACCCAGACUCCAACGGGAGGCAACAGUGGAGAGUAUUGCACAGUGGGCGGGAGCCUGAUGCAACAACGCCGCGUGCGGGAUGACGGCCUUCGGGUUGUGAACCGCUUUCGCCUGUGACGAAGCGUGAGUGACGGUAAUUGGUAAAGAAGCACCGGCUAACUACGUG